UACGGAGGGUGCAAGCGUUAUCCGGAUUCACUGGGUUUAAAGGGUGCGUAGGCGGGUAAGUAAGUCCGUGGUGAAAUCUCUGAGCUUAACUCAGAAACUGCCGUGGAUACUAUUUGCCUUGAAUAUUGUGGAGGUGAGCGGAAUAUGUCAUGUAGCGGUGAAAUGCUUAGAUAUGACAUAGAACACCAAUUGCGAAGGCAGCUCACUACACAAUCAUUGACGCUGAGGCAACGAAAGCGUGGGGAUCAAACAGGA
rnacentral:rRNA from 1 species